GGAACCCGCGGCUCCGAGCCUUCGCCGGCGUCCCGACCCGAGGCCGGACCCGAGGCCAGUCCCGCCGCUGCGCAGCCGAAGCCAGUGCGGGGCCUGAGAGGGACGCGCGCCCCGGGGCCCCCGCCGCGGGCACCAUGGGCGCUGCCCACUCCGCGUCUGAGGAGGUGCGGGAGCUCGAGGGCAAGACCGGCUUCUCAUCGGAUCAGAUCGAGCAGCUCCAUCGGAGAUUUAAGCAGCUGAGUGGAGAUCAGCCUACCAUUCGCAAGGAGAACUUCAACAAUGUCCCGGACCUGGAGCUCAACCCCAUCCGAUCCAAAAUUGUUCGUGCCUUCUUCGACAACAGGAACCUGCGCAAGGGACCCAGUGGCCUGGCUGAUGAGAUCAAUUUCGAGGACUUCCUGACCAUCAUGUCCUACUUCCGGCCCAUCGACACCACCAUGGACGAGGAACAGGUGGAGCUGUCCCGGAAGGAGAAGCUGAGAUUUCUGUUCCACAUGUACGACUCGGACAGCGACGGCCGCAUCACUCUGGAAGAAUAUCGAAAUGUAAAGUGGUCGAGGAGCUGCUGUCGGGAAACCCUCACAUCGAGAAGGAGUCCGCUCGCUCCAUCGCCGACGGGGCCAUGAUGGAGGCGGCCAGCGUGUGCAUGGGGCAGAUGGAGCCUGAUCAGGUGUACGAGGGGAUCACCUUCGAGGACUUCCUGAAGAUCUGGCAGGGGAUCGACAUUGAGACCAAGAUGCACGUCCGCUUCCUUAACAUGGAAACCAUGGCCCUCUGCCACUGACCCACCGCCACCUCCGCGGAGAAACUGCACUUUGCAAUGGGGCCGCCUCCCCGCGUAGCUGGAGCAGCCCAGGCCCGGCGGACAGCCUCUUCCUGCAGCGCCGGUACAUAGCCAAGGCUCGUCUGCGCACCUUGUGUCUUGUAGGGUAUGGUAUGUGGGACUUCGCUGUUUUUAUCUCCAAUAAAAAAAAAAAAAAGGUUUGUUAAUUAA